CUCCUCCUCACCAAAACCCACAAUAUGCUUAAUUUCUAAUACAUUUCCUGCUCCAGGGAUUCCGACUUUCUAGCUAGGUGGGCUAAAAGAGCAACAAGGAAUGAGCAGUUCUUCGUUUGAAUCCCGGACAAAUUUUCUGCAUUGAAGACACGAGCAUAUCUCCAACGUUUUGCUUUUGCUCCUAUUUCCUACUUAUCAUCCAUCGGAAAAUCAUAAUGUUCAACGAUGUACUGAAUAGUCUCUAAAGCUACCCUGGUCAUUGGAUGAGCAACAAUUUCAAACAUCUGUAUCAACGCAGCGCUUUUAAGCACAGUACAUCAUCAGAAUGUAUGCAUGCAUUAAUGUAAAUGCAAGGUGUUGCUCGAAGAGCAUUCUGCAGAGUCCCUUAUCAGUAUUAUCCAACUCCUCCAAGGCUCUUAAAAAUGGAAUAACACUGUAUUUUAGUACUUUCUUAUUCUGAAGUAAGGUCCUGAUUCCCUUUAAGCAGGUUGGAUCUGGAACAAUACGUACAGCUAUUGCCUUUCGCUAAAAGUUUUGAUACUGAUUGUUUAUAUACUCCCAAGCUUUCAGAUAGUUUUGGUCUGUUUUAGUUAUCAUCCUUAGUACAGAAGCCGCAAUGUAACAAACAGAUGAUUCCAGUUCUACCUGCUCGACAUCAGAUGUGUCCAUAGGAGUUGCUGCAGUUGACCCUCUGAUGUUAUUCCCCAAGCACACUGAACCAACACUCCUACAAGGUAUACAGUCACAUGGGAAGUCAGGCAGGUUUCAGCUCUAACAGUUAAACUCUUGUCUAGAUUCCGCUGUGAUAGUAUCCCAUGGUGUCUUGAUGGGCUCAUUGGAUGCUGAAGGUUUAUCCAUAACUGGCGAAUAUGUGAAAGUGCCAAUAAGAACAAUGCUGGUCUACUCUUCUGUUGGGAGCACGCCGUCUGUUCAAAAAAUAAAACAGGUUACUCUUAACUCAAACUCUAACUAACUAAUAGUAUUAUAAUACAACUCUAAUAAGAUAUUGUAAUCUAACUAAGUAAUAUUGUUGUAUUACAACU